rnacentral:rRNA from 1 species
UACGUAGGGUGCAAGCGUUAUUCGGAAUUAUUGGGCGUAAAGGGCGCGUAGGCGGCCUGACAAGUGGAAGGUGAAAUCCCUCGGCUUAACCGAGGAACUGCCCUCCAAACUGUCUGGCUUGAGACCGGGAGAGGUGAGUGGAAUUCCCAGUGUAGCGGUGAAAUGCGUAGAUAUUGGGAGGAACACCAGUGGCGAAGGCGGCUCACUGGACCGGUACUGACGCUGAGGCGCGAAAGCGUGGGGAGCAAACGGG